UUGAACGCUGGCGGCGUGCCUAACACAUGCAAGUCGAACGCGAAAGGGGGCAACCCUGAGUAGAGUGGCGGACGGGUGAGUAACGCGUAGGAAUCUACCUGGUAGUGGGGGAAAACCCGGCGAAAGCCGAGCUAAUACCGCAUACGCACUACGGUGGAAAGUGGGGGAUCGUAAGACCUCACGCUAUCAGAUGAGCCUGCGUCCGAUUAGCUAGUUGGUGAGGUAAUGGCUCACCAAGGCAACGAUCGGUAACUGGUUUGAGAGAACGACCAGUCACACUGGGACUGAGACACGGCCCAGACUCCUACGGGAGGCAGCAGUGGGGAAUAUUGGACAAUGGGGGCAACCCUGAUCCAGCGACGCCGCGUGUGUGAAGAAGGCCUUCGGGUUGUAAAGCACUUUCGGUGGGGACAAACAAGACGGAGCUAACAUCUCCGUUCCUGAUGGUACCCAAAGAAGAAGCACCGGCUAACUCUGU
rnacentral:rRNA from 1 species